rnacentral:misc_RNA from 1 species
GUGUUUUGGAAGCUUGGGGCUGUUCUCAAUGGAACAAUUAAGAGAAAUAGCUAUUGGGCUGGAGAGAAGUGGCCAGAGGUUUUUGUGGGUCGUGCGAAAUCCACCCUCUGAUAAUCAAAGCUUAGCCAUCUCAGCCCACCCAGACCCAAAUUUGAACGCAUUGCUUCCUGAUGGUUUCUUGGAUCGUACCAAGGAAAGGGGACUCGUGGUGAAGUUGUGGGCUCCCCAGGUAGC